AACACGUAUGCAACCUGCCCUUUGCUGGGGGAUAACCGGCAGAAAUUCCGACUAAUACCGCAUAAUAUGCCGAGGGGACAUCCCCUUGGCCUCAAAGGAGCAAUCCGGCAAAGGAUGGGCAUGCGUCGCAUUAGCUAGUCGGCGGGGUAACGGCCCACCGAGGCGACGAUGCGUAGGGGUUCUGAGAGGAAGGCCCCCCACACUGGUACUGAGACACGGACCAGACUCCUACGGGAGGCAGCAGUGAGGAAUAUUGGUCAAUGGGCGGAAGCCUGAACCAGCCAAGUCGCGUGAGGGAAGACGGUCCUAUGGAUUGUAAACCUCUUUUGCCGGGGAGCAAUGCCACCUUUGCGAAGGUGGAGGGAGAGUACCCGGAGAAAAAGCAUCGGCUAACUCCGUGCCAGCAGCCGCGGUAAUACGGAGGAUGCGAGCGUUAUCCGGAUUUAUUGGGUUUAAAGGGUGCGUAGGCGGGCUGUUAAGUCAGCGGUCAAAUGUCGGGGCUCAACCCCGGCCUGCCGUUGAAACUGGUGGCCUUGAGUGAGCGAGAAGUAUGCGGAAUGCGUGGUGUAGCGGUGAAAUGCAUAGAUAUCACGCAGAACUCCGAUUGCGAAGGCAGCAUACCGGCGCU
rnacentral:rRNA from 1 species